rfam:Valsa mali strain 03-8 chromosome 6, whole genome shotgun sequence.
GGCAACAUGGCCGAGCGGUCUAAGGCGCUACGUUCAGGUUAUUCAUCUGAGUAUCUCAUCGUAGUCUCGAAAGGGGCGUGAGUUCGAAUCUCACUGUUGUCA